GUGCCAGCAGCCGCGGUAAUACGUAGGGUGCGAGCGUUGUCCGGAAUUACUGGGCGUAAAGAGCUCGUAGGUGGUUUGUCGCGUCGUUUGUGUAAGCCCGCAGCUUAACUGCGGGACUGCAGGCGAUACGGGCAUAACUUGAGUGCUGUAGGGGAGACUGGAAUUCCUGGUGUAGCGGUGGAAUGCGCAGAUAUCAGGCAGAACGCCGAUGGCGAAGGCAGGUUACUGGGCAGUUACUGACGCUGAGGAGCGAAAGCAUGGGUAGCGAACAGGAUUAGAUACCCUGGUAGUCCAUGCCGUAAACGGUGGGCGCUAGGUGUGAGGCCCUUCCACGGGUUUCGUGCCGUAGCUAACGUGUUAAGCGCCCCGCCUGGGGAGUACGGCCGCAAGGCUAAAACUCAAAGGAAUUGACGGGGGCCCGCACAAGCGGCGGAGCAUGUGGAUUAAUUCGAUGCAACGCGAAGAACCUUACCUGGGCUUGACAUGCACUAGAUCGCCUCAGAGAUGGGGUUUCCCUUUGUGGUUGGUGUACAGGUGGUGCAUGGUUGUCGUCAGCUCGUGUCGUGAGAUGUUGGGUUAAGUCCCGCAACGAGCGCAACCCUUGUCUUAUGUUGCCAGCAUUUGGUUGGGGACUCAUGAGAGACUGCCGGGGUUAACUCGGAGGAAGGUGGGGAUGACGUCAAAUCAUCAUGCCCCUUAUGUCCAGGGCUUCACACAUGCUACAAUGGUCGGUACAACGCGUGGCGAUACUGUGAGGUGGAGCUAAUCGCUUGAAAGCCGGUCGUAGUUCGGAUUGGGGUCUGCAACUCGACCCCAUGAAGUCGGAGUCGCUAGUAAUCGCAGAUCAGCAAUGCUGCGGUGAAUACGUUCCCGGGCCUUGUACACACCGCCCGUCGCGUCAUGAAAGUUGGUAGCACCCGAAGCCGGUGGCCCAAACUUGUUAGGGAGCCGUCGAAGGUGGGAUCGGCGAUUGGGACGAAGUCGUAACAAGGUA
rnacentral:rRNA from 1 species